AGCUGGAAUCGCUAGUAAUCGCAGAUCAGAAUGCUGCGGUGAAUACGUUCCCGGGUCUUGUACACACCGCCCGUCACACCAUGGGAGUUGGAAAUGCCCGAAGCCAGUGACCCAACCGUAAGGAGGGAGCUGUCGAAGGUGGAGCCGAUGACUGGGGUGAAGUCGUAACAAGGUAAC
rnacentral:rRNA from 1 species